rnacentral:antisense_RNA from 1 species
GGCAGUCGUCGGUAACGUGGCCGCAGCCCGACAGCGUGACGGACGCCAGGUUGGGGCACCUGUGAGGAGAGUGCGGUGAUCCGGGGCUCACUGGCUUGUUAAAGCCACCCAACCGCCCCGGGGGAGUGAGUGGACUCAUUUACCGAGGAGGACUCGGGCCCUGCGAGGUCACUUCAUCCUGGCCCAGGUACAGCAGCUCCAAAUCGUGGGGAUUCUGUAAGAGCUUGCUACCUGCUGACUGAGGAGGCCCACGAGUCGAGGAGAACUAUCAAGAGUGGCACAAAACUGCAGGUCACUGGGCUGGCCACCAGGUAUUCCCACCCACCAGAAGCUGGCUGUUGUACUCACCCGGAACCAUGGUGCACCACCACAGCGGCGAGGUCAUACAGGCAGCUCUCCGGGCCACUGUUCUCAGGCUACAGAACAAGGAAGAAGGCACAGUGGUCAAUGACAUCGGUAUCUUGAUGACCUCUACCCUCUCCAUGUGAUGACAAUCUUACCGAAGAGCCAUUUUUUCACCAUGCUAAAAAGGUAACCACCUUACCUCUAGUAAGUAGCAUUUCAUGUCUAGGCCUCUCAGUGGAAAUUCUACAUAUGUAUCAACUUUAUUUCUUAAAUAUGCUGUCCAGUGAAAUCUUUUCAAAUGUAAGCAUAGCACCUGGAGGACAGAGAUGAGGUCAAAGAUUGUGAACACCUAACUUACCUUUCAGUCAAAGUUUGAUACUACUAUCAGUUCAGUAAAUAACAUUUUAGCUGCCCUAUCAAUCAUUCUUCCUCGCAUACCUUAUGCAUUCAUUCUGUAAAGGGUUCAGCUUUUACUGAAAACCCUAGAGACAAAUACAGAACAGUUCACAUAGUGUAAAGUUAUAGACAUGGUCUUAGCAGUCAAGCAUUUUCCCCUUGAAACUGCUUCGUAACUCAAAAUUCAACACUCACCUUGGGUAGUUUUUGAAUCCAAAACUUUUUUGUGGACUUUUGUUUCUUUUUGCAUUUAUGGCACAUAUAUAACUCUGUCUCAUCAAGUUCUUCUAAGUCGGUAAAACUGCGAAGACAAUCUAAACAAAUAGAUUUUGGCAGCAUUAAAACAAGAUGCCUUUUAUAGAGGCAAUGUACUGUAGAAAAAAGACCCAGGUUUAAAAUCUCAGCUUUAUUAGCUAUACGACCUUAGAAAAGUUAACCUUUCUCAGUUGCGAACUGGAGACAAAAAAUAAUACCUACUUUGAAGAACUAUUGUAAGGAAGAGAAAUAACAUGUGUAGAGCACCUGGCAUCAUGCCUGACAUCUGGUGAUGAUCAAUUGUGUUGGUUUUACUAUUAAUGAAAAUUCAUCUGGAUAAUUCUGAUAAAAUGGUUUCCUGAUAAAUUUAAAGUUUCAAUUGUAGUUUUCUGUCAGUAUGUUAUACAGGACAAAGCUCCAAACUUAUAAAAAAAA